AUUGAACGCUGGCGGAAUGCUUUACACAUGCAAGUCGAACGGCAGCACGGACUUCGGUCUGGUGGCGAGUGGCGAACGGGUGAGUAACAUAUCGGAACGUAUCCAAUAAUGGGGGAUAACUAAUCGAAAGGUUGGCUAAUACCGCCUACGCACUAUGGGGGAAAGCAGGGGAACUUCGGACCUUGCGAUCAUGUAGGGGCGGAUGUCUGAUUAGAUAGUUGGUGAGGUAAAGGCUCACCAAGGCGACGAUCAGUAGCUGGUCUGAGAGGACGACCAGCCACACAGGAACGGAGACACGGUCCAGACGCCUACGGGAGGCAGCAGUGGGGAAUUAUGAACAAGUGGCGCAAGCCUGAUCCAGCCAUUCCGCGUGAGUGAAGAAGGCCUUCGGGUUGUAAAGCUCUUUCGCAAGGGAAGAAAACUUACUUUCUAAUAAAGAGUGAGGUUGACGGUACCUUGAUAAGAAGCACCGGCUAACUACGUGCCAGCCGCCGCAGUAA
rnacentral:rRNA from 1 species